rnacentral:rRNA from 1 species
UACGUAGGUGGCGAGCGUUGUCCGGAUUUAUUGGGCGUAAAGGGCGCGUAGGCGGCUACGCACGUCCGUUGUGAAAUCGCUCGGCUCAACUGGGCGGGUCAGCGGAUACGGUGUAGCUGGAGCAAGCUAGGGGGCAAUGGAAUUCCCGGUGUAGUGGUGGAAUGCGUAGAUAUCGGGAGGAACACCAGUGGCGAAGGCGACUUCCUGGCCUGUUCUUGACGCUGAGGCGCGAAAGCUAGGGGAGCAAACGGG